GUGAGGAAUAUUGGACAAUGGGCGCAAGCCUGAUCCAGCCAUGCCGCGUGCAGGAAGACGCAUCUAUGGUGUGUAAACUGCUUUUGUACGGGAAGAAACACUCCCUCGUGAGGGAGCUUGACGGUACCGUAAGAAUAAGGAUCGACUAACUCCGUGCCAGCAGCCGCGGUAAUACGGAGGAUCCAAGCGUUAUCCGGAAUCAUUGGGUUUAAAGGGUCCGUAGGCGGUUUAAUAAGUCAGUGGUGAAAGCCCAUCGCUCAACGAUGGAACGGCCAUUGAUACUGUUAGACUUGAAUUACAAGGAAGUAACUAGAAUAUGUAGUGUAGCGGUGAAAUGCUUAGAUAUUACAUGGAAUACCAAUUGCGAAGGCAGGUUACUACUUGUGGAUUGACGCUGAUGGACGAAAGCGUGGGGAGCGAACAGGAUUAGAUACCCCAGUAGUCC
rnacentral:rRNA from 1 species